rnacentral:sRNA from 1 species
UCAUACUGAGGCCAGAGUGCCAUCGAAGGUAAUUAUAGAGACAGUAAAAUCCUUUUACUCUGGGAAAAAUAAAAUGCUGGGUGUCUCACAAAAUUUCAGAACCUGAUUUCAAACGGAUCAUAACAAAGAGGAGAUCAAAUUUAGCAUGGUGGACUGCUCGACAGGAUAUAUUUGUCAAUGGAAUGUUUCCACAUGUUAUACCACCAACAUGAGAAAAAAAUGAUCGUUGUUUAUUUGAAGCUUGAAAAAUGAGCAGGCGGAAUUGUUGGAUUUGUAAGAUGUGCAGAGAUGAAUCUAAGAGGCCCCCUUCAAACCUUACUUUGGAGGAAGUAUUACAGUGGGCCCAGUCUUUUGAAAAUUUAAUGGCUACAAAAUAUGGUCCAGUAGUCUAUGCAGCAUAUUUAAAAAUGGAGCACAGUGACGAGAAUAUUCAAUUCUGGAUGGCAUGUGAAACCUAUAAGAAAAUUGCCUCACGGUGGAGCAGAAUUUCUAGGGCAAAGAAGCUUUAUAAGAUUUACAUCCAGCCACAGUCCCCUAGAGAGAUUAACAUUGACAGUUCGACAAGAGAGACUAUCAUCAGGAACAUUCAGGAACCCACUGAAACAUGUUUUGAAGAAGCUCAGAAAAUAGUCUAUAUGCAUAUGGAAAGGGAUUCCUAUCCCAGAUUUCUAAAGUCAGAAAUGUACCAAAAACUGUUGAAAACUAUGCAGUCCAACAACAGUUUCUGACUACAAUUCAAAAGUUUAAAUAGAAAACAGUAUAUUGAAAGUGGUGGGUUUGAUCUUUUUAUUUAGAAACCCACAAAAUCAGGAACACAGUACAAAUAAAACAGAAAUCAAACUAUAAGUUGACUUUUAGUUCCUAAAAAGAAACAUAUUUCAAAAGCAAUGGAAUCUAGAAUUCUUAUAACAUGAAUAACAAAAUGUACAGCAUACCUAUGUAGUUCAAUUAAUAUAUAAGGAAAAGGAAGGUCUUUCUUCAUGAUACAAGCAUUAUAAAGUUUUUACUGUAGUAGUCAAUUAAUGGAUAUUUCCUUGUUAAUAAAAUUUUGUGUCAUAAUUUACAAAUUAGUUCUUUAAAAAUUGUUGUUAUAUGAAUUGUGUUUCUAGCAUGAAUGUUCUAUAGACUACUCUAAAUAACUUGAAUUUAUAGACAAAUGCUACUCACAGUACAAUCAAUUGUAUUAUACCAUGAGAAAAUCAAAAAGAUGUUCUUCAAAGACAUUUUAUCUAUAAAAUUUUCCUACUAUUAUGUUCAUUAACAAACUUCUUUAUCACAUGUAUCUUCUACAUGUAAAACAUUUCUGAUGAUUUUUUAACAAAAAAUAUAUGAAUUUCUUCAUGUGCUCUUGCAUCUACAUUGCUAUAAGGAUAUAAAAUGUGGUUUCUAUAUUUUGAGAUGUUUUUUCCUUACAAUGUGAACUCAUCGUGAUCUUGAAAAUCAAUAAAGUCAAAUAUCAACUAAA